rnacentral:rRNA from 1 species
UACGAAGGGGGCUAGCGUUGUUCGGAUUUACUGGGCGUAAAGCGCACGUAGGCGGAUCGUUAAGUCGGGGGUGAAAUCCUGGAGCUCAACUCCAGAACUGCCUUCGAUACUGGCGAUCUUGAGUCCGGAAGAGGUGAGUGGAACUCCUAGUGUAGAGGUGGAAUUCGUAGAUAUUAGGAAGAACACCAGUGGCGAAGGCGGCGACCUGGUCCGAUACUGACGCUGAGGCGCGAAAGCUAGGGGAGCAAACAGG